UCCGCCGCCACUGCUGAGACGAGCGGCCCCCGGUAAGGCCCGUCCGCCUGCCCGCCCCAAAGCCCAGGCCGACGCCGUUCUCCCGGACGAGACAGCCCGCGCUCACCAUGUAAAGGGUGAAGGGAAAGCCGAGCAAGAAGAGCCACAGCGAACCAAUGGCAGCAUCUGACUAUUCUUGGAAAACCAGAAGACAGAAGUGACUGACUGAAAGCAGAUGUAGAGGAUCUAUUUUUUAUUUCCCUAGUGGGAAAGUAGGGAGAAGACACAAACCCCCCAACUAUGGUGGCUCUCUCCCCACAGUAUAAACAAAUAAACCAUUUUUGACUGUA